UACGUUCCCGGGCCUUGUACACACCGCCCGUCAAGCCAUGGAAGCUGGGGGUGCCUGAAGUCGGUGACCGCAAGGAGCUGCCUAGGGUAAACUAGUAACUAGGGCU
rnacentral:rRNA from 1 species